rnacentral:rRNA from 1 species
CACCGGCGGACGGCUCAGUAACACGUCGGUAACCUACCCUCGGGAGGGGGAUAACCCCGGGAAACUGGGGCUAAUCCCCCAUAGGCCUGGGGUACUGGAAGGUCCCCAGGCCGAAAGGGGCUCUGCCCGCCCGAGGAUGGGCCGGCGGCCGAUUAGGUAGUUGGUGGGGUAACGGCCCACCAAGCCGAAGAUCGGUACGGGCCAUGAGAGUGGGAGCCCGGAGAUGGACACUGAGACACGGGUCCAGGCCCUACGGGGCGCAGCAGGCGCGAAACCUCCGCAAUGCGGGCAACCGCGACGGGGGGACCCCCAGUGCCGUGGCAACGCCACGGCUUUUCCGGAGUGUAAAAAGCUCCGGGAAUAAGGGCUGGGCAAGGCCGGUGGCAGCCGCCGCGGUAAUACCGGCGGCCCAAGUGGUGGCCGCUAUUAUUGGGCCUAAAGCGUCCGUAGCCGGGCCCGUAAGUCCCUGGCGAAAUCCCACGGCUCAACCGUGGGGCUUGCUGGGGAUACUGCGGGCCUUGGGACCGGGAGAGGCGGGGGGUACCCCUGGGGUAGGGGUGAAAUCCUAUAAUCCCAGGGGGACCGCCAGUGGCGAAGGCGCCCCGCU